UCGGUUGCUUAUUGGCUUCUUGAUUUGUUGUUCGUUUUAAGUCAACUCCAAUUCCAGUACUCCUUGGCACAUAUUGUUUCCUUCUGCAGUUGAUCUCUUGCUUCAUCUCUUUCUUUAUAUGCUGUCUGCAAUAAAAGAAGUUUUGCCAUAAUCCAUUGGAGCAGCGAAGCCAUAUUUGCGGCAAUUCAUUGAUGUAUAGGCA